UCUGAUGAUUAUUUGUUAUUCAGAGACAGAAUAUACGUACCAAGGAAUUCAGAACUGGUACAGAAGAUUUUACACGAAGCUCAUAAUGGUAAUUGUCUAUUCAUCCUGGCAGUAAUAAAAUGUAUAAUGAUUUGAAAAAGAUGUACUGGUGACUGAGAAUGAAACGGGAUAUUUCCCCAUUUGUAUCUAAAUGUUUGAUAUGUCAGCAAGUCAAAGCUGAGCAUCAGGUGCCAUCGGGAUUAUUACAUCCAGUUACGAUUCCAU
rnacentral:lncRNA from 1 species